AGCGCUUCCUGGUGGCGGGUCGGGUCGGGCAGGCGGGGCGGGGUAUAAAGGGGGCGGCCCCGGCCGCGCUUCCCUCCCUGCUGCUUCCUCGGCGCCCGCGCCUCGGGCCGUCGGGACCGGAGCCUCCUCGGGACCAGGACUUCAGGGCCACAGGUGCUGCCAAGAUGCUCCAGGGCCCCUGCUCCGUGCUCCUGCUCUGGGGAAUCCUGGGGGCCAUCCAGGCCCAGCAGCAGGAGGUCAUCUCGCCGGACACUACCGAGAGAAACAACAACUGCCCAGAGAAGACCGACUGCCCCAUCCAUGUGUACUUCGUGCUGGACACCUCGGAGAGCGUCACCAUGCAGUCCCCCACGGACAUCCUGCUGUUCCACAUGAAGCAGUUCGUGCCGCAGUUCAUCAGCCAGCUGCAGAACGAGUUCUACCUGGACCAAGUGGCACUGAGCUGGCGCUACGGCGGCCUGCACUUCUCCGACCAGGUGGAGGUGUUCAGCCCACCGGGUAGCGACCGCGCCUCCUUCAUCAAGAACCUGCAGGGCAUCAGCUCCUUCCGCCGUGGCACCUUCACCGACUGCGCGCUGGCCAACAUGACGGAGCAGAUCCGGCAGGACCGCAGCAAGGGCACCGUCCACUUCGCCGUGGUCAUCACCGACGGCCACGUCACCGGCAGCCCCUGCGGCGGCAUCAAGCUGCAGGCCGAGCGGGCCCGCGAGGAGGGCAUCCGGCUCUUCGCCGUGGCCCCCAACCAGAACCUGAAGGAGCAGGGCCUGCGGGACAUCGCCAGCACGCCGCACGAGCUCUACCGCAACGACUACGCCACCAUGCUGCCCGACUCCACCGAGAUCGACCAGGACACCAUCAACCGCAUCAUCAAGGUCAUGAAACAUGAAGCCUACGGAGAGUGCUACAAGGUGAGCUGCCUGGAAAUCCCUGGGCCCCCUGGCCCCAAGGGCUACCGUGGACAGAAGGGUGCCAAGGGCAACAUGGGUGAGCCGGGAGAGCCUGGCCAGAAGGGAAGACAGGGAGACCCGGGCAUCGAAGGCCCCAUUGGAUUCCCAGGACCCAAGGGCGUUCCUGGCUUCAAAGGAGAGAAGGGUGAAUUUGGAGCCGACGGUCGCAAGGGGGCCCCUGGCCUGGCUGGCAAGAACGGGACCGAUGGACAGAAGGGCAAGCUGGGGCGCAUCGGACCUCCUGGCUGCAAGGGAGACCCUGGAAACCGGGGCCCCGACGGUUACCCGGGGGAAGCAGGGAGUCCGGGGGAGAGAGGAGACCAAGGCGGCAAGGGGGACCCUGGCCGCCCAGGACGCAGAGGGCCCCCGGGAGAAAUCGGGGCCAAGGGAAGCAAGGGGUAUCAAGGCAACAACGGAGCCCCAGGAAGUCCUGGCGUGAAAGGAGCCAAGGGCGGGCCCGGGCCCCGCGGACCCAAAGGCGAGCCGGGGCGCAGGGGAGACCCCGGCACCAAGGGCAGCCCAGGCAGCGACGGCCCCAAAGGGGAGAAGGGGGAUCCUGGCCCUGAGGGGCCCCGCGGCCUGGCUGGAGAGGUUGGCAACAAAGGAGCCAAGGGAGACCGAGGUUUGCCUGGACCCAGAGGCCCCCAGGGAGCUCUUGGGGAGCCCGGAAAGCAGGGAUCUCGGGGAGACCCCGGUGAUGCAGGACCCCGUGGAGACUCAGGACAGCCAGGCCCCAAGGGAGACCCUGGCAGGCCUGGAUUCAGCUACCCAGGACCCCGAGGAGCACCCGGACAAAAAGGCGAGCCCGGCCCACGCGGCCCCGAGGGAGGCCGAGGCGACUUUGGCUUGAAAGGAGAACCUGGGAGGAAAGGAGAGAAAGGAGAGCCUGCGGAUCCUGGUCCCCCUGGUGAGCCAGGCCCUCGGGGGCCAAGAGGAGUCCCAGGACCCGAGGGUGAGCCCGGCCCCCCUGGAGACCCCGGCCUCACAGAGUGUGACGUCAUGACCUACGUGAGGGAGACCUGCGGGUGCUGCGACUGCGAGAAGCGCUGUGGCGCCCUGGACGUGGUCUUCGUCAUCGACAGCUCCGAGAGCAUUGGGUACACCAACUUCACGCUGGAGAAGAACUUCGUCAUCAACGUGGUCAACAGGCUGGGUGCCAUUGCUAAGGACCCCAAGUCCGAGACAGGGACGCGCGUGGGCGUGGUGCAGUACAGCCACGAGGGCACCUUCGAGGCCAUCCAGCUGGACGACGAACGUAUCGACUCCCUGUCGAGCUUCAAGGAGGCUGUCAAGAACCUCGAGUGGAUUGCGGGCGGCACCUGGACACCCUCGGCCCUCAAAUUUGCUUACGACCGCCUCAUCAAGGAGAGCCGGCGCCAGAAGACACGCGUGUUUGCGGUGGUCAUCACGGACGGGCGCCACGACCCUCGGGACGAUGACCUCAACCUGCGGGCGCUGUGCGACCGCGACGUCACAGUGACAGCCAUCGGCAUCGGGGACAUGUUCCACGAGAAGCACGAGAGCGAGAACCUCUACUCCAUCGCCUGCGACAAGCCGCAGCAGGUGCGCAACAUGACGCUGUUCUCCGACCUGGUCGCCGAGAAGUUCAUCGAUGAUAUGGAGGACGUCCUCUGCCCGGACCCUCAGAUCGUGUGCCCAGACCUUCCCUGCCAAACAGGUAAUGCAGGGCACUCCGAGCUCCCACCCCAGACUUAGCAGAGCAGCCCCAGUGUCCUUCCUCCUCAAGGGCCGGGCUGGGGGAGGGGCCGAGCAGGGACCCGUGGGGGCGGUGGAGCCACUGCGGAGGCUGCCCCUUAGUGAAAUGCCCCCAGGAUGGCAGCACAGGAGAAGAGGGGCUCGGGGAAGGCAGGCUCCCGGGAACGCAGGAACAGCAUCGUGAGGAGGGGCUCAGGGAGGGCAGGCUCCUGGGAACGCAGGAAUGGCAUCAUGAGGCCAUGGUGCGGGCGCUGCUAGCCUGGCGCUGUGCUUGGCCUGUGGCCACUGGUCUUGAAGGCCCACCAUGGGACUUGCAGUCCCCCUCAGCUGCCACCCAGCUCCCAUGGGCUGGCCGUGCAUGUGCCACUCGGAGGAAGCCCUAGAUUCAGUGAGUGAAACCAUCCCGGGGUGGAGGCACUGACACCCACCAGCACCAGCAGGUCUUGCUCCGACCCUGGCCUGCCUCGGAGCUGCGGCCACGGCUCUCAUCUCUGGGAGUGGGGGAGCCCAUGUCCCGGAUGUGGCCCACGUAGGUGUGAAGCUGGAGCUGGGAGUGCCCAGGGCUGGGGGUGCCGUCCAGGCUCUGCUGGACGUGAUGCUGCCCCCACGGUGACUGCUGCCCCGUACCUGGGCCCAGAGGUCCCCGGGGGCGUUAGGAGCUGAGUCCCCCUCAGUGAGCCAUCCCUUCCAGGAGUGUCAGGGUGGGGAUGCCGUGGGGACGCCAUGGAGACAGGGUGGGAGGGUCCGACCUGGAGAACCACAGGGAGGAAACCUCGGGGUCUGCGGUAUGAAGUCAGCGCUUCCUCAGCACGCGGGUCAUGGUGUGCGCUCAGGCGUUCCAUGGGGAGCUCCCGGUGGGUGAGCUGGGCCACAGAGCACGUUCAUGGGGAGCUCCCGGUGCAUGAGCUGGGCCACAGAGCACAUUCGUGGGGAGCUCCCGGUAGGUGAGCUGGGCCACAGAGCACAUUCACAGGCCCUGAGGCUGCCCCAGGAGGGGGAGCCGUGGAUUUGGGGCCAAGAUUCCCCACACGUGCUCUGACAGAGAACCUGGGGGUUGCACCUGGAUCUGGCUGCCCUUCAGCAGGUGGGCAGCCUCUAGCCCCACAACAGUGGGCUGUGCCUCUGCCGUCGAGGUGCAGGCAUCCUCGCCCAGGGUCUGCCAGGGCCUGCAUCAGCACCAAGGGCAGCUGGACCCUGAGGGCAGGAACCAGACCUUGGCUCCUCUACCCAGCCCCUCGUUCCUGACGGGGCAGGGAAGUCUCAGGACUGCAUGAAGAGCAACAUGGCGAUGUUCACUGUGGGUGCUUUGCUGUCAGAUGGAGGCCUUCCCCCCCACUCCAGGGUCCAGUGUGAGUGGGCGCUGUGGCUUCCCCUCCACUCCAGGUUCUAUCAUGAAUGGGUGCUGGGAGAUUUUCCUUCACUCCAGGUUCUAUCGUGAGUGGGUGCUGCGUCUUGUCAGGUCCUUUCUCUUCUCUGCGUCUGUGGAUGUCACGUAACGUUUCCUCUUUAGCCUAUCAUUGUAAUUGGGAGUUAGCCCAUGGAGCGUCAUUGAAUUUCCAGUGUUGAGCCAGCCUUGCAUGCCUGGGGUAAACCCACCUGGCCGUGGGGUGUGCCUCUGUUUGUGCAUGUGGGCCCUGAUUUGCUGAUGCCUACCUGAGGGUUUGUGCUUAUCGGCGAUAUCAGCCUGCACUUUUCUUUUCUCAUGCUCUCUCGUUCUGGCCUCAGGGUGACGUGGGCCUCAUAGGGUCCCGUGGUGGCUCUUCCCAAGACGGUGACAUGGGGUGAGCCAGUUCUCCCUCCUGGGAGUGGGUCACUCAGGCCACCAGAGCACCACAGGGAAGGCAGCCAGGGAGGACACGGAGGCCUUUGAAGCUCUGGCCUCCUCUGAGGCCUCCAGGACCUGACAGUCAGUGGGAACAGGCCCAGUAGAACCCCUCCUCUCCUCUUGGCCUCCCUGACACCACGUCCAUGACACCCAGAGCUCAUCCUCCUUUCAAGCUGUUUGCAGUUUCAAAGUAAACUAGACCUUGUAGCUCCAGGAGAUACAGCAGGGACAGUGUUAAAUCGGCUUUAAAUCAGCUUUCACCAGCCCACACCGCCAGGCAUCCUCCCCGGCCCUCCUGGGCACUGGGUGGACACCACUGGCUGUGGCCUAGCCCUGGCCUUCAGACAGCCCUGUCCACCCCAAAGCCCAGCACCAGGCCUGUGGCGUUCUCAGUUGCACGGGGACCAGACGGUGCUGGAGAAACAAACCAGACGCAGCUGAAGGCAGUCAGGGCAGGGCCCACUCAGCACUAAGAGCUGUACGGGGGCCGCAGCGUAAUCUGAGCUCCACUCGGUGGAAAGAAAAGGCAGAGACAUUGCAGAGACCAGGUCUGCUCAGGGGAAGACAGUUCCGGGUGUAGAGGACUCACAUCCCAGAGAGGCUGAAGAAGGGUUUGCCACCGCAAGCUUUCUCAGGCGGGCUCUUGACGGGUGGCUGGGGUCUUCCUGGCGACGGGGCCCGCAGCACUGGAAGGCCCUACUGGAGUUUGGCAUGUCUCCAGGGCAGGUUUGGACGGAGCUGUUUUGUGCUGAAAGGUUUUCUCGGGGUCCGUGGUGUCCCCCAAAGGUGCCACCGUGCAGGUCUCCUCUCCUAGCUCCCUGUCCCCAUGCUCACUGCCCCCACACCUCCUGCCAAGGCCGAGCCACACACCCGCUCCACCUGUGUCUCCUCUACCGACUCGCCGGCCCAAGUGCCACUCUUCACUCUGGCCUCGCUGAGCGACCGCCCGAGGAGGAGCUUUAUGCCGACGCCCACCGCAGGCCUUAAAGUCUUCUCUGGACGCUCCCUUGCAGAUGCACCGUGGCCUGGCGGCGAGCCCCCGGUCACCUUCCUCCGCACGGAAGAGGGGCCGGACGCCACCUUCCCCAGGACCAUCCCCCUGAUCCAACAGUUGCUAAACGCCACGGAGCUCACGCAGGACCCGGCCGCCUACUCCCAGCUGGUGGCCGUGCUGGUCUACACCGCCGAGCGGGCCAAGUUCGCCACCGGGGUAGAGCGGCAGGACUGGAUGGAGCUGUUCAUUGACACCUUUAAGCUGGUGCACAGGGACAUCGUGGGGGACCCUGAGACCGCGCUGGCCCUCUGCUAACGCCCGGGCGCCCGCCCAGCCGGGCUGUCCCCUCCCUGCCACACUAGCUUUCCAGGGCUGCCCCCCGCAGACUGGCUCUCAGUGGAGGCCAGAGAUCUGGACUCGGGGUCAGUGGGGCCACAGUCCUUCCAGGGGCUCUGGGGCAGCUUCCGGCCUCUUCCCACCCUGGUUGCCACCGUGUCCCUUGCUGCAGCUGCAUCUUCCAGUCUCUCCUCCGUCUUCCUGUGGCUGCUCUUUUUAUAAGAACACCAGUCAUUGAAUUUAAGGCCCCCCCCCCAGUCCAGAAUGACCUCACAAGACCCUUAACUCACUCCCGUCUGCAGAGUCCUUCUUUGGCAUAUCAGGUCAUCCUCGCAGGCUCCAGGGUUUGGGCAUGGAAGUCUUUGGAGGCCCUUACUUAGCGGCUCUGCUGGGCUGCCGUGCGUCUGGGAUGGGGCUGAGAGAGGGUGCUGCCCAGGUGCUGGAGAAUGUUCCAGCACCAGGUUCCAGUGGAGCCUUGGAAACAGGCCCCAGAAGCUGGUGAGCCUCACUGGGUGUGGGUACUAAUCCCGUGCAUGGUGACUCGUGGGCGCUCACAGCCCACCUGGUGGCAGGUGAAGGCUUCGGGUUGGGCAGCAGAUAGUCCUGGGGGAAGCUGGCAGUCCUGGCACCAUGACGUACCUGGGCUGUUGUCAUGCACAUUGGGGCGAAUGGCCACAGCUGCCUGCCAGCAGCCCCGGUCCCGGGGUGUCUGUACCCUUCUAGCCCAGCCUCAGGGCCCCCAAAAGCAGUCGGGGGAGCAUCCACCAGGCAUGACCUCUGCGGUCCUCGGAGAACUGAGCAGAGAACCCCAGGGGCCACGAUGUUGGGGAGCAGCAGGGGACACCAUCCAAAGGGCGCGGCCCCCACGGCCAGCUCAGACCCUGACGUUCUGACUAUGCAGGAGCCCUCAUCCAGGCUGGGCUGCCGGGCAGGGCUGUGACCAUUUCUCACAGCCAGGUUCUCGUCCCCACACCCACUGCACAGGGUGGGCCAGGCUGGGCUUCCCACUGUGGGGAUGAAGGAUCCUUCACAGAAGAAGGAAAGGAGAGUCCACAGACAUCCCGACAGCCUUAGCCUCCCUAUGCCCGGCCGGCCCCCACAGCUUCUCCAUCUCCUCCAGGCCCCACAGACACUGAUGCAUGGAGAGAGACCCCCAAAACCAGCCGCCCCGUGCACGUCUGUCUGUGUGUGGUGACAGCAGUGAAAAUGUUACUAGUUUUGAGGGGGUUUGGGAAGCCCAGCGGUACCUGAGGAGUUUCUGGACAUUUAAGCCAGUUCAUAGGUGUGGCCUUAACAGGGAGGCUGCCCUUCCUUUCACUGAAUAAGCUGCGUCACUCAUAAGCUCACUGAGGGAACGCCGUCUGCCAGCUCGUGUGUGCUCCGACAAGGUCCGUCUCAAGCGUUCUGUGAAGGCUGCGGUGCAGCGUGAGGUCACACUGCUGUGUUCAGAGUUUUGCUCACUGCCUGUGGGGCUGGACCUUUGCACCUCCAGGGCCCCCCAGAAGCCGAGUUUCGGGUCAGGGUCCUCUGUGUGCAUUCCUGGAGUCAGGACCCUGCUCCCGAGGGAUUCCUGGGGGUCCAUGUACCAGCUGUGACAAUGUCCAGGGGUUGGGCUGAGAAGCAGACACCCUUGGGGAAACUGGCUCUGUCCCUCCCCUCCCCCAUCCCAGGAGCUGAGGUCCUGGUGAGGCCACAGGGCCGGGUCCACGCAUGUGGACUGUCCGUGUCCUGUCCUGUGGUCUCUGGCCCCACGUGACACCCACACGUGUGGUGGGCGGCCUGGGCUGGGCUGUGGCUAUGGCCAGGCCCCCAAGCUGUCCGCGAUGCCCAGGGCUGGUGACCACCCAGGCAGGUGGGAACCCCUCUUGGUAACAGAGUCAUAGAGCAGAGCCCACCUGGGCUGCCACAGAAGGUGUGGCUGCCCCUGUGCCCACUGCUCCCCACCAUAGCCAAUCAGAAGAGUCAGGGGCUCUGGGUCUUUCCAGGAGGGACGUGGCCCAGCCAGCUCUAGGGGUUCUGAGCAGCUCUGGGACCCAGUGAGUGAGGGAUCAGGCUGGGGGUGUCAGAGCCAGGGUCCUCCUUAAGUCCCUCCCACACCAGACAGACAGUGGCCCUUUUGUGGGCAGCAAAUUCUUGAGCGAUGAGAGGAUGCUUUGGGCCCCUUCCCUCCCAGGAGGGCAGCCUGGGCAGGGAUGGCGCUCAGCAGGUGGACAGGGCCUGGGGCCUGUGUCAGGGUCUCAGGCCUGGGAGCACCAGCAGAGGAGCAGGCGGCUCCCAGCAGUGCCACCUCAAAGGGGCUUGGGCUGAGGACCCACACCCAGGGCUGCCCUGCAGAAACGCCCCCGCAGAGCCCAGCGGUCUGCGGGGUCGCAGGCGGGGUGCGAAUGGAGGGGCACAGGUGCGGGACUGGCGCCUGCCCGGUCCUGCCAACUUCCCCUCCGCCCAGCCCGCACCUGCGUCUCCCCGCAGAGCUGUCCGUGGCACAGUGCACGCAGCGGCCCGUGGACGUCGUCUUCCUGCUGGACGGCUCUGAGCGGCUGGGUGAGCAGAACUUCCACAAGGCCCGGCGCUUCGUGGAGCAGGUGGCGCGGCGGCUGACACUGGCCCGGAGAGACGACGACCCUCUCAACGCACGCGUGGCGCUGCUGCAGUUUGGCGGCCCCGGUGAGCAGCAGGUGGCCUUCCCGCUGAGCCACAACCUCACGGCCAUCCACGAGGCUCUGGAGGCUGCGCAAUACCUGAACUCCUUCUCGCACGUGGGCGCGGGCGUGGUGCACGCCAUCAACGCCAUCGUGCGCAGCCCGCGUGGCGGGGCCCGGAGGCACGCAGAGCUGUCUUUCGUGUUCCUCACGGACGGCGUCACGGGCAACGACAGCCUGCACGAGUCGGCGCACUCCAUGCGCAAGCAGAACGUGGUGCCCACCGUGGUGGCCUUAGGCAGCGACGUGGACAUGGACGUGCUCACCACGCUCAGCCUGGGUGACCGCGCCGCCGUGUUCCGCGAGAAGGACUAUGACAGCCUGGCACAACCCGGCUUCUUCGACCGCUUCAUCCGCUGGAUCUGCUAGCGCCGCCACCUGGGCCCCGCAGUCGAGGGUCGUGAGCCCACCCCGUCCAUGGUGCUAAGCGGGCCCGGGUCCCACACGGCCAGCGCCGCUGCUCACUCGGAGGACGCCCUGGGCCCGCGCCCCUCCAGCUCCUCCCACAGGGUCCCCGUAGCCCCGGCCCCUGCCCAGCCCCAGGUCUCCCCAGGCCCGCCGGAGGCUGCCCGGCCUCCUCCCCCUUGCAGCCAACCCAAGGCUCCUGACCUGCCUGGCCCCUGAGUUCCGGGGCAAGCCCUGACCCAAUAAAGGCUUUGAACCCA